AUUGAACGCUGGCGGCAUGCCUUACACAUGCAAGUCGAACGGCAGCGGACCUACGGGUGCCGGCGAGUGGCGAACGGGUGAGUAAUGCAUCGGAACGUGCCAUUGAGUGGGGGAUAACGUAGCGAAAGUUGCGCUAAUACCGCAUAUUCUGUGAGCAGGAAAGCAGGGGACCGCAAGGCCUUGCGCUCUUUGAGCGGCCGAUGUCAGAUUAGCUAGUUGGUGAGGUAACGGCUUACCAAGGCGACGAUCUGUAGCGGGUCUGAGAGGAUGAUCCGCCACACUGGAACUGAGACACGGUCCAGACUCCUACGGGAAGCAGCAGUGGGGAAUUUUGGACAAUGGGGGCAACCCUGAUCCAGCCAUGCCGCGUGAGUGAAGAAGGCCUGGUGUAAG
rnacentral:rRNA from 1 species